rnacentral:rRNA from 1 species
AAGGUUUCCGUAGGUGAACCUGCGGAAGGAUCAUUACAACAAUAAUUCAACAUUGUGUCAGAGCAAUAACAUCUAAAACCGAUCAUCAAUUAAUUAAUUCAAAACUUUCAACAACGGAUCUCUAGGUUCUCGCAUCGAUGAAGAACGCAGCGAAAUGCGAUACGUAGUACGAAACGCAAGUCGUGAAUCAUCGAAUCUUUGAACGCACAUUGCGCUGUGUGGCAUUCCACACAGCAUGCCUGUUUGAGCAAUAUUUCUCUCUCGCAAGGUGUUGGGCACCACGCCGGCAGGCGUCUGCCAGAAACGAAAUUGUCUAAAACAGUUAAGCUUGUUACAGACUCUUGAUCUUAUUCUCAAAUCAGGUAGGACUACCCGCUGAACUUAAGCAUAUCAAUAAAGCGGGAG